rnacentral:rRNA from 1 species
ACGCUCGACACCUACGGGGGCAGCAGUGAGGAAUAUUGGUCAAUGGGCGCUAGCCUGAACCAGCCAAGUAGCGUGAAGGAUGAAGGCUCUAUGGGUCGUAAACUUCUUUUAUAUAAGAAUAAAGUGCAGUAUGUAUACUGUUUUGUAUGUAUUAUAUGAAUAAGGAUCGGCUAACUCCGUGUCAGCGGCCGCGGUAAUCUGAGCGGGCUGGCAAGGC